AACGAUGCAUAGCCGACCUGAGAGGGUGAACGGCCACACUGGGACUGAGACACGGCCCAGACUCCUACGGGAGGCAGCAGUAGGGAAUCUUCCGCAAUGGACGAAAGUCUGACGGAGCAACGCCGCGUGAACGAUGAAGGUUUUCGGAUCGUAAAGUUCUGUUGUUAGGGAAGAACAAACUUCGUUUGAAUAAGGCGGAGUCAUGACGGUACCUAACGAGAAAGCCACGGCUAACUAC
rnacentral:rRNA from 1 species